rnacentral:rRNA from 1 species
UACGUAGGUGGCAAGCGUUGUCCGGAAUUAUUGGGCGUAAAGCGCGCGCAGGCGGUCCUUUAAGUCUGAUGUGAAAGCCCACGGCUCAACCGUGGAGGGUCAUUGGAAACUGGGGGACUUGAGUGCAGGAGAGAAGAGUGGAAUUCCACGUGUAGCGGUGAAAUGCGUAGAGAUGUGGAGGAACACCAGUGGCGAAGGCGACUCUCUAGUACGGUACUGACGCUGAGACGCGAAAGCGUGGGGAGCGAACAGG